AGUGGCGGACGGGUGAGGAAUACGUAGGAAUUUGCCCUUAAGUGGGGGAUAACCCGGGGAAACCCGGAUUAAUACCGCAUGAUCUUUUCGAAGCAAAGCCGGGGACCGCAAGGCCUGGCGCUUUUGGAGAAGCCUACGUCGGAUUAGCUAGUUGGUGAGGUAAUGGCUCACCAAGGCUGCGAUCCGUAACUGGUCUGAGAGGAUGAUCAGUCACAUCGGAACUGAGACACGGUCCGAACUCCUACGGGAGGCAGCAGUGGGGAAUAUUGGACAAUGGGCGAAAGCCUGAUCCAGCAAUACCGCGUGUGUGAAGAAGGCCUUCGGGUUGUAAAGCACUUUAGGUCGGAAAGAAAAAACUUGAGUUAAUACCUUAAGUCUUGGCGGUACCGACAGAAUAAGCACCGGCUAACUCUGUGCCAGCAGCCGCGGUAAUACAGAGGGUGCAAACGUUAAUCGGAUUUACUGGGCGUAAAGCGUGCGUAGGUGGCUGUUUAAGUCGGAUGUGAAAGCCCUGGGCUUAACCUGGGAACUUGCAUUCGAUACUGGAUAGCUAGAGAUCGUAGAGGCAGCGGAAUUCCGGGUGUAGCGGUGAAAUGCGUAGAU
rnacentral:rRNA from 1 species